rnacentral:rRNA from 1 species
UACGGGGGGAGCAAGCGUUGUUCGGAUUUACUGGGCGUAAAGGGCGCGUAGGCGGCGUGACAAGUCACUUGUGAAAUCUCCGGGCUUAACUCGGAACGGUCAAGUGAUACUGUCGUGCUAGAGUACAGAAGGGGCAACUGGAAUUCCCGGUGUAGCGGUGAAAUGCGCAGAUAUCGGGAGGAACACCGGUGGCGAAGGCGGUUCUCUGGGCCUUACCUGACGCUGAGGAGCGAAAGCGUGGGGAGCGAACAGG